GGAUCUUAGCAAAAUGCUCUGAAGGGGAGUCCUAAAAGGGGAGCUUUUCGUGCAGUGUGGUGAUGGUAGUGGUGAGAGAGUCUUUCUACAGAGCCCUGGCUCUAUUGGAACUCUAUAUAUCAGGCUGGACUUGAACUCACAAAGAUCCACCUGCUGCUGCCUCCUAAAUGCUGGGACUAAAGGCAUGUGCUAGCAUGCAUAGCCUAAUGUAACUCCCCCGCCUUCUACCUUCACUAGCAAGGACAAUACAGAGUCAUCUGAGUCUGAUGUUGAUGUCUUUCUAUUACAGCUGACUAUGGGGGAAAAGGAGAGACCUUGGGACAGG
rnacentral:lncRNA from 1 species